rnacentral:rRNA from 1 species
UACAGAGGGGGCAAGCGUUAUUCGGAAUUAUUGGGCGUAAAGGGCGCGUAGGCGGCUUGGCAAGUGGAAGGUGAAAUCCCUCGGCUUAACCGAGGAACUGCCCUCCAAACUGCUUCGCUUGAGACCGGGAGAGGUGAGUGGAAUUCCCAGUGUAGCGGUGAAAUGCGUAGAUAUUGGGAGGAACACCAGUGGCGAAGGCGGCUCACUGGACCGGUACUGACGCUGAUGCGCGAAAGCCAGGGGAGCAAACGGG